rnacentral:misc_RNA from 1 species
UCCGGUUUAACACCGGCAGUCCCUCUAGAGAUCUGCUUGCGCAGCAACUAAAGGCGAGGGUUGCGCUCGUUGCGGGACUUAACCCAACAUCUCACGAUACGAGCUGACGACAGCCAUGCACCACCUGUCACUCAUCCAGCCGAACUGAAGGAAACCAUCUCUGGAAUCCGCGAUGAGGAUGUCAAACGCUGGUAAGGUUCUGCGCGUUGCUUCGAAUUAAACCACAUGCUCCACCGCUUGUGCAGGCCCCCGUCAAUUCCUUUGAGUUUUAAUCUUGCGACCGUACUCCCCAGGCGGGAUGCUUAAAGCGUUAGCUGCGCCACCGAAGAGCAAGCUCCCCGACGGCUAGCAUCCAUCGUUUACGGCGUGGACUACCA